rnacentral:rRNA from 1 species
ACGACUGAUGUGACCAAGCGGGUCGUGUAAGCGGUCAAGUAGCCUUGUUGCUACGAGUCGCUGAGCGUCAGCCCGACCUUGGCUCGAUUUGU